GCAGUCGAGCGAAUGGAUUAAGAGCUUGCUCCUAUGAAGUUAGCGGCGGACGGGUGAGUACACGUGGGCAACCUGCCCAUAAGACUGGGAUAACUCCGGGAACCGGAGCUAAUACCGGAUAACAUUUUCAACCGCAUAAGACAAAAUUGAAAGACGGCUUCGGCUAUCACUUACAGAUGGACCCGCGGCGCAUUAGCUAGUUGGUGAGGUAACGGCUCACCAAGGCAACGAUGCAUAGCCGACCUGAGAGGGUGAUCGGCCACACUGGGACUGAGACACGGCCCAGACUCCUACGGGAGGCAGCAGUAGGGAAUCUUCCGCAAUGGACGAAAGUCUGACGGAGCAACGCCGCGUGAGUGAUGAAGGCUUUCGGGUCGUAAAACUCUGUUGUUAGGGAAGAACAAGUACAAGAGAAAAAGCUGGCACCUUGACGGUACCUAACCAAAAAGCCACGGCUAACUACGUGCCAGCAGCCGCGGUAAUACGUAGGUGGCAAGCGUUAUCCGGAAUUAUUGGGCGUAAAGCGCGCGCAGGCGGUUUCUUAAGUCUGAUGUGAAAGCCCACGGCUCAACCGUGGAGGGUCAUUGGAAACUGGGAAACUUGAGUGCAGAAGAGAAAAGCGGAAUUCCACGUGUAGCGGUGAAAUGCGUAGAGAUGUG
rnacentral:rRNA from 1 species